rfam:Pseudogymnoascus pannorum VKM F-4517 (FW-2822) contig_4525, whole genome shotgun sequence.
AGAGAAUUGGCCGAGUGGUUUAAGGCGGUAAAUUUGAGCUUUAUUUGGUUUUAUGAAUCACAUCCGUUCGAAUCGGAUAUUCUCUG